UUCUACCACGAAGAGGUCUGACAAAGGAAAAGAAAAACAAAAGAUUUCUUUGAUCAAGACUGACAAGGCACCAAAAGUCGAGUAACUUUGAAAGAUGCCAUGAAGUCUUUUCCCCAAGCUGACGUUAUUGUCACUAGUCCUCAAGAGAUCUUGAAAGACAGACUUCAAAAGGAUAUUAAGGUUAUCAAUAUUUCCUCUUCGCAAGAUUUUUCUAAGGAUCCUUAACCUCUUCUUGAUCAACCUCAAAAGCUUGUUACUUCUAAACCGGAGGAUGUUAUGGGUGUUUCUCAGUUGGAAACCCUCGUUGGCGUCGAAACACCCCACUAGUUCUCUCAAGGUGAUGCUCCCUCUUUUGAAUUAAAACCUGAAAUUCCAUUUGGCACAGGCGAAACAAUGGUCAUCCCUGAGCUAGCUCAGCCUCUUACACCUUCUUCCAAACUAGAUAAAAAUGACUUUGGGUCCUCUAUGCGACCCCCGACUUUGAUUCCUUCUGUUGACUUGGAUCUAAUUUGCUUUUUUAAUGAUGACGUCGAAGUAGAUAAUAUUUUGGAGGUGUUGGAAAACUGGACUAGUGGAACCUCGGUCUCGGAGAAAGCUCUUAAGUCUGUUGGCAAUUUUCAACCUCUGUUAGAGUCAUUCCGCUCAAAAGCUUAUGUUGAAGAUCUCGACCAGGCAUUCCUUAUACCCAAUUUUAAGGAUUGAAGCUCUUUCUUGUUCGAAGGAGGUUUGGCUUCCGUGUUUGUCUUGGUUUUGUUUUAUCCACUUCGAUCCCCUUUUUAUGUAUAAUGAAUCCCAGAAAUUCACUUGUUGUGACACUAAAAACACAUUUUAGUGGAUUCAUUUUCAAACCAUAUUUCCUCAUUCUUUUGAAGGAUAAUUUUAGAUGUUGUAAAUGAUCGCAAUUUUGUACGAAUUUACCUAUCAAGUCAUGGAAGAUUAAAUUCA